GUGCCAGCAGCCGCGGUAAUACGGAAGGUCCGGGCGUUAUCCGGAUUUAUUGGGUUUAAAGGGAGCGCAGGCUGAUUGUUAAGCGUGACGUGAAAUGUAGCCGCUCAACGGCUGAACUGCGUCGCGAACUGGCAGUCUUGAGUGAGUACGACGUCAGCGGAAUUCGUGGUGUAGCGGUGAAAUGCUUAGAUAUCACGAAGAACCCCGAUUGCGAAGGCAGCUGACGAGUCCUUUACUGACGCUAAAGCUCGAAGGUGCGGGUAUCGAACAGGAUUAGAUACCCUGGUAGUCCGCACGGUAAACGAUGGAUGCCCGCUGUUGGCGAUACAGUGUCAGCGGCCAAGCGAAAGCGUUAAGCAUCCCACCUGGGGAGUACGCCGGCAACGGUGAAACUCAAAGGAAUUGACGGGGGCCCGCACAAGCGGAGGAACAUGUGGUUUAAUUCGAUGAUACGCGAGGAACCUUACCCGGGCUUGAACUGCAGCGGAAGGAUACAGAGAUGUUGACGUCCUUCGGGACCGCUGUGGAGGUGCUGCAUGGUUGUCGUCAGCUCGUGCCGUGAGGUGUCGGCUUAAGUGCCAUAACGAGCGCAACCCUUCUGCGUAGUUGCCAUCAGGUUAUGCUGGGCACUCUGCGCACACUGCCACCGUAAGGUGUGAGGAAGGUGGGGAUGACGUCAAAUCAGCACGGCCCUUACGUCCGGGGCUACACACGUGUUACAAUGGGUGGUACAGAGAGUCGGUCGUAUGCAAAUGCGAUCCAAUCCUUAAAGCCAUCCUCAGUUCGGAUUGGGGUCUGCAACCCGACCCCAUGAAGCUGGAUUCGCUAGUAAUCGCGCAUCAGCCAUGGCGCGGUGAAUACGUUCCCGGGCCUUGUACACACCGCCCGU
rnacentral:rRNA from 1 species